rnacentral:rRNA from 1 species
UACAGAGGUCCCGAGCGUUGUUCGGAUUCACUGGGCGUAAAGGGUGCGUAGGUGGCAUGUUAAGUUUGAUGUGAAAGCUCAGGGCUCAACCCUGAAAUGGCAUUGAAUACUAGCGUGCUGGAGGUUUGGAGGGGGACUGGAAUUCUCGGUGUAGCAGUGAAAUGCGUAGAUAUCGAGAGGAACACCAGUGGCGAAGGCGAGUCCCUGGACAACACCUGACACUGAGGCACGAAAGCUAGGGGAGCAAACAGG